rnacentral:rRNA from 1 species
UACAGAGGUCUCAAGCGUUGUUCGGAAUUACUGGGCGUAAAGGGCGCGUAGGCGGCCUGCUAAGUCGAACGUGAAAUCCCUGGGCUCAACCCAGGAACUGCGUCCGAUACUGGUUGGCUUGAAUCCGGGAGAGGGAUGCGGAAUUCCAGGUGUAGCGGUGAAAUGCGUAGAUAUCUGGAGGAACACCGGUGGCGAAGGCGGCAUCCUGGACCGGCAUUGACGCUGAGGCGCGAAAGCCAGGGGAGCAAACGGG